UUUUGUGAUGGCGAGUGGCGGACGGGUGAGUAACGCGUAGGAAUCUACCUAAGAGUGGGGGACAACCAGGGGAAACUCUGGCUAAUACCGCAUAAUCUCUAUGGAGCAAAGCUGGGGACCUUUGGGCCUAGCGCUUUUAGAUGAGCCUGCGUCAGAUUAGCUAGUUGGUGGGGUAAAAGCCUACCAAGGCGACGAUCUGUAGCUGGUCUGAGAGGACGAUCAGCCACACUGGGACUGAGAUACGGCCCAGACUCCUACGGGAGGCAGCAGUGGGGAAUAUUGGACAAUGGGGGCAACCCUGAUCCAGCAAUGCCGCGUGUGUGAAGAAGGCCUUCGGGUUGUAAAGCACUUUCAGUAGCGAAGAAGAUGAUUGGGUGAAUACCCUGGUCAUUUGACGUUAACUACAGAAGAAGCACCGGCUAACUCUGUGCCAGCAGCCGCGGUAAGACAGAGGGUGCGAGCGUUAAUCGGAAUUACUGGGCGUAAAGCGUACGUAGGCGGAUGUUUAAGUCAGAUGUGAAAUCCCCGAGCUCAACUUGGGAACUGCAUUUGAUACUGGGCAUCUAGAGUAUGGUAGAGGAAAGUGGAAUUUCCGGUGUAGCGGUGAAAUGCGUAGAUAUCGGAAGGAACAUCAGUGGCGAAGGCGGCUUUCUGGACCAAUACUGACGCUGAGGUACGAAAGCGUGGGUAGCAAACAGGAUUAGAUACCCUGGUAGUCCACGCCGUAAACGAUGAGAACUAGGCGUUGGGUUGUAUAAACAACUUAGUGCCG
rnacentral:rRNA from 1 species